AGCCACGCAGCGAGCACAGAGCAAACUAUUCUUUCGCCUUUUACUAGAGAAUACCGCGUGCAAGCUGCUUCAAGCGGCAUAUGCCUAUCUUUGGAAGGGACCCAUUUUUGGGUGGGAU